rnacentral:rRNA from 1 species
AUUCCAGCUCCAAUAGCGUAUAUUAAAGUUGUUGCAGUUAAAACGCUCGUAGUCGGAUUUCGGGGCGGGCCGACCGGUCUGCCGAUGGGUAUGCACUGGCCGGCGCGUCCUUCCACCCGGAGACCGCGCCUACUCUUAACUGAGCGGGCGCGGGAGACGGGUCUUUUACUUUGAAAAAAUCAGAGUGUUUCAAGCAGGCAGUCGCUCUUGCAUGGAUUAGCAUGGGAUAAUGAAAUAGGACUCUGGUGCUAUUUUGUUGGUUUCGAACACCGGAGUAAUGAUUAAUAGGGACAGUCGGGGGCAUUUGUAUUCAAACGACAGAGGUGAAAUUCUUGGACCGUUUGAAGACAAACUACUGCGAAAGCAUUUGCCAAGAAUGGUUUCAUCA